UUGUUGGCUUUGGCAAUAUACAGACUAAAAUUGGCAAUAAAGAGAAGACUGAUAUGGCCCUAAGGAUGAUAUGCAAAUCCAUGAAGCACUCCAGAUUGAA
rnacentral:snRNA from 1 species